rnacentral:rRNA from 1 species
UACAGAGGGGGCAAGCGUUAUUCGGAAUUACUGGGCGUAAAGGGCGCGUAGGCGGUCAGCACAAGUCAGUUGUGAAAUCUCCGGGCUUAACUCGGAAAGGUCAACUGAUACUGUGCGACUAGAGUGCAGAAGGGGCAACUGGAAUUCUCGGUGUAGCGGUGAAAUGCGUAGAUAUCGAGAGGAACACCUGCGGCGAAGGCGGGUUGCUGGGCUGACACUGACGCUGAUGCGCGAAAGCCAGGGGAGCGAACGGG